rnacentral:tRNA from 1 species
GGUCGGUUUACCGAGUGGUUAGGUAGCGGUCUGCAAAACCGUUUACGGCGGUUCGAAUCCGCCACCGACCU